rnacentral:rRNA from 1 species
UACGUAGGGUGCGAGCGUUAAUCGGAAUUACUGGGCGUAAAGCGCGCGCAGGCGGUUUGUUGUGUCUGAUGUGAAAGCCCCGGGCUUAACCUGGGAAUGGCAUUGGAAACUGGCAAGCUGGAGUGUGGCAGAGGGGGGUGGAAUUCCGCGUGUAGCAGUGAAAUGCGUAGAGAUGCGGAGGAACACCGAUGGCGAAGGCAGCCCCCUGGGCCAACACUGACGCUCAGGCACGAAAGCGUGGGGGGCAAACAGG